rnacentral:lncRNA from 1 species
GGAAGUCAAACUACAGGAUUUUACUGUCAGGGCCAUCAGCUACUCAGGAGCCUGUUUGAAUCAAUUGAUGGCAAAUAGCAGUCUUUCUACAUUUUCUUGCAGACAGAUUUCUAUCUGACUUUCUUGGCCACCAAUUCAACAGAAGAAGAGAACAACCAAAUGUCUGUAGUUACUGCAUCUUCGUAUAGGUGGCAAGGAGUGGCUCUUCUUUGUUCCCCUAUGACAUACAAAGGACUUAGAAGUGUUUAUGUGAGGAAAAGGCAGCAUAUUAUAACAUCUGACACUUUUUCUCCAUGAGAAAGCUGGAAAUCACCCCUUCCAACUGGCAGAAAGCUUUGACUCUCAGCCCUGCAAAGCUUUGAAGU